GUUUGCUCGGAAGAUGGAGGAGGGUGAGAGGCGAGUGAAGACGAGAGCGAAAGAGCGAGAAUGCCGACUACUCGUUCGGCUUCACGUCCUCGUAUGGAUUUACCAGGCUUUGGCAACUGCAUGGAAAUGUACUUCAAGUUCAGAUGGAGAUCUGAGCCCCUGUAGUAGCUUCAGAUUGUUUCAGAAGAACUGCAAAGCUAAGCUUUGAUGGAUACUGUAAAGAAGUACGAAGAUGUCCAAGCAUGGAAAACACAAUUCUAAAGGGAAUGCAUAGGAGACACACCACUUCAGAUCCUCUCAUUCUUCUUCUUUUUUUGCAUUAUUCUUUUCUUUAGCCAUUCAUGAAAAGGUUGCUGCUAACAUCCAAUGUCUCCUCAGAUAGGUGCCUUGCUGACACGGAAUAAUCAUCACUUGGGCCUUGGAUGUCACACUGGUGGUUCUUAGAGCAGAUAGCUCAUGUGUUCUGAACAAGGAACAAUUCCAUACCUGCCACGUAUGUUAUGGAUCAUAUAAAGAUUGGAUGCAUGCAAGGAUCAAGUCUCAUCCAAGUUGUGCUCAGAAAUUACCAAGUUAGAGCUCUGCUUUUGGAGUGGACUAAAACCAUAAUAACAGGUCUGGUGUGUAUCUUCACUUGUGAUCUUUGGGAAAAUGGAAGACAACUGGGUUCGGUACGGCACAUGGCUGAUUGGCACCCACCCACUUUGGGUUGCUUUGCCUAUGGGUGGUGAUGGUGGUGGUGGCGGUGGUGUUGGCAGCAGAGGAUUUCAACUAGAUUAGAGACCUGAGGAUUCCAUUUUCAUCUGUUAAGGGGUAGUGGCAUCCAAUGCCAUCCUGAUCUCUUCAGCCAGAGAGAAUACAGAACAAUGAGUCCAUCAAACUUGUUCCUAUCUCAUCAGUUCUGUAUAUUUCCUUUGGACCACAACUGCCAUUUUCAUGCUUCUUUUUGGUCUGUCCCCCCAUGGCUUGUCCGGUGGCAGAUGCUGCUGAACUAAACUUGGCAAUGAAAGUGACUCUCUCAUGGACAUCAGCACUUUGAUUGGAUGAGGUGAUGGAGUUAAGAUUCCUUGGAAACCCCACUUUGACUACAGUGCUUGAUUAGUUCUCACGAUGAUGUAUUGGCUAAAUUAUAGGUGCUCUUUUAACUUUGGUUGUACUUGAUUUGAGGAGCUUCGGCAUCUUGAGCUCAACCAGAGCUGUAGAAGUUUCAAGACCAUGAAUGUGUCAUAAAAGAAAUGUUCUUGAUCUGAGCAGUUAGGCAUUGGCUUCUUGAGGUCAAGCAUUUCUGUAAGAAUAAACCUACCGUGACAACCAUAUAUGUCUUCCCAAGGCAUUCAAAGAGGAGAGAUGGAUUUGUUGAGAUGUGUGGAAUUAGGCAUUCAAGACUUUUUGGCAAAUACCUAUUCAUGCAUGCUGUUGGGAUUUUUUUUUCAUCUCCUUGUUGGUAUGCACAUGAGAUAUCGAAAGCUACAUAUUUUAUUACUCUUCUUCGCAGGUUUUGUUAAAGCUCCAUCUCUCUAGCUUAUUCUGCAUUACCAAACUGUUGCAGCAACCCAAUGCCACACCAUUUAUGACACAAGAAGGAACUCUUGUUCUCCCCACGAGUUAGAUAUCCAUCACUUUUUCUUUCUGUGCUUGUAUCUGAGGAAUGAAAGAAGGCCUCAUUUUCUUUGCCCUACAAGCUCUGAAGUAGCCAAGUGUUGUUGUCAUCUCCUACAAGAUAUGCAUUUUUUUUGUACGAGUGCACAAUUAAUGGUAGUACUCUUGUGAGUUGCUCC